GGGUCAAUACGUAUAGCGUCUUCGCGGCUGGCAAGAACUGGGACACGCCCUUAGUACAUGAGUGUCUUUACAUGCUAAGCCCGUUGGAAUGAGUCCAUCGUACCCGGCUGUCAAGAGUGCGACCUCGUACUCGGCAAUCAAGCGCGAUAUCUACUCAGCCACCACGAAGGAUGGAGGCACAUUCUUGGAUCUUCCGCGUUUCUUACUUCAACAGCGUCCAGAGAAGCACACGGCCGGAACUGGAACGACAUAUGGUUCCCGUGGUGGAGCGGUUCACCUCGGAGAGGUGGUGCUGGGACCCGGCGCGCUCAUCAUCGAGAACGAGAACCUGGUUGUCGUGGCUGUCGCCUGGUCGCCCAAGCUGCUCUCUCAGGGCCAAGAUUUCCUCAGCUUCUCGCUGCGCUUCAACGGUGACCACUGCCUGCACGAAGACUUCGCCGGCGAUGGCGACGAGCAGGAUGGCAGAAACAACAUCGUGAUCACCAUCCCGUUCGAGGCGCUGUCUAUGGCCAACAACAGCUCUCUCCUAGCCGCUGGCGAGGCCUACCGACCCAUCCAUGAAAUGGAGAAGGGACCACGCAUUUCGUUCAUCUCGUACCGAAACGACAAGUUCUUCCGGCCAGUUCGCUAUAGUCCUGCGUCCCUGGUCAGCACAGGGAAGUCGUGCUGUCAGCCAAGGUUGGCAACGGCAAGAUUGAAAAUCUCACCGAUCCCUUGAUCUACUCGCAUCCGACUUAUAACGCCGAAAGAUACGUCUGUGCUUUCUGGGAUGAACGCCGAUCCUCUACCAGGAACGUCAUUGGCACCCCACCACUACCGAAUUCUGUCUCUCAUAUCCUACGUUGGAUGUACAAUGUCCAUCGUCGGCCUGUUUUUCACUAUUCUACCUACUCCAUUUCCAGGUGCCUCAACAAGGACCGCUCGGGCAAGAUCCUCCUCAUACCGUGCUCAGCCAUGCUGCUGCUGAAGGUGGCCUUCCUUCUGGGUUCGCUCCACCAAUGCUUCCCCAGGUUCGAGCUGUGCCUGGGCACGGCCGUGGCCACGCACAACUUCCCGCUCGCCUGCCUCGCCUGGAUGGGCGUCGAGGCGGCCAACAUGUACCAGAUGCUCGUUCACGUGUUCGCCUCUUCUGAGACGUCCUUCAUGCUCAAGCGCGUUGUCAUCGCCUGGGGUAUUUCAGCGGCUAUCGUUGGCACCUGCCUGGCCAUGGACUUAAAGCCUUACAGAAGCCAAUAUGACUAGUGCGUGAUAUCACCCAGAAACCCGUUCAUCUACUACAUCGCAUUCCUGGGCAUCUCCUGCUUCAUCCUCUUCGUCAACUCGCUCGCCUUCAUCAUGGUGACCCGGGUGCUCUUCAAGCCGCGCAUGGCUGGAGCCAACACGACGGCCGCCAACCACAACUCGACUUCCGCUUCCGGUCCCGGCUCCACCAACCCGCUCCCCAUCCCCGCGGCUGAAGUUCGCGGCGCCUUCACCAUCAUGACCAUGCUCGGGGUCACGUGGAUAUUCGGCGUAUUCGCCGUGGGCGAAGCGCGCACCGUGUUCCAGUACGUCUUCUUCGUGUGCAACUCGAUACAUGGCUUCCUCAUAUUCGUGGUGCGGGUGCUGUAGUAUCUGGAUGCCCGGGCAGCCUGGUCCCAGCUGGCCUCGACCGGUAGGUUCAAGAAGAACCGAGGCUCUGGACCGCAGGCGGCGUCCUGGUGCGCGUACUCGAAUCCCAAGUGCGACAGUCACUCAUCGAUGGUGCGGGUCACCUCGAACAGCACCGACAGCACGAGCACGGUGGUGUUCAACAGCAACAUGUGGAACAAGGGAACUGGAGGAGGCGGCGGUGGCCCAGCAAGUGCCCGCGACUGCCCCUCGAGACUGUCUCGCUUCUCGAGUGUCGGCAGCCUGCUGAAGAACUGCAACCUUCAGAAGGCUGACAAAGGCACAGCGACUCUGAAUAGAAAGGACAAGGCCUUCUCCAAGUUACAGGUAAUCACCGAAGAAGUCGGCGCGAAGCAGAACCGCAAGGAAUUCUACUCGUCCGAAGAUCAAGUCACGUCUCUGGUGUCCGACCUGUACGCCGGCCAGGAGCACCAAAUCAAAAGCAACAGCGUCGACGCGUCCGACCCGAAGAAGUACAUCGACGACAACUCUCGAAGCACGGUUACGACGCUGGGUCUGGGAUUCAACCAGAAGGCACACAUACUGUUCGCCUACACGGGAGGCUAGGCCACUCUCAUACACGUAAACGGCGGGGUGCACUCACCGCUGGACCAGCCGAAGCUCGAGUCCUUCAGCACGUUCCAGCGGUCGUCGCCCGUGCCCGCCAGCACGCCCAAGAUUCCAGAACUGCCGCGGUCCUGGAACAAUGCUGCGGCGACACUUUGGGCUGUACCCGUGGACGGCAUCGUCUCGGACCACGAUUCCCUGCGUAGCUCCACAAGGAUGGCGGCGACCGAGGAGACGUCGUUCGUGACGCCCAGGCAAAUAAGCAUCACAGUCACCGCAUCUUGAAGAGUUGCAGACAGCAAGAACACAUGAUCGUGUUCCCGUCACUAAUUAACAAGUUCACGGAUUGGAAACAGGACAGCGUGCCUUUUAUUCAGAGUUCCCAUCUUUGAGACGCGUGACAUCAUGUCCUUGAGUGAAUAUUUCAUGCAGGUAUCAUGUCGUCAUCGCGGGAUGUGCAAUAGCAGUCGCCAAGUAGGAGCUGUGCUCUUUACCUACAACUCAGUGCUGGUGAACUGGAGGUAUGAACACGUAGCGCGUUUCUCUGCCACCCCCAAGGGCUUGCAACAGAGUCUGUGUUUUGUGCACCGAGGCGCCUUCUGGACUGCUGUGUCUCUUAGAAUUGUCAUCGUUCUACAAUAAGGACUGGUGUUUGCUUCGUUGUUGCUCUUAAGCCGUGCCCUUCUGUGCUGGCAUCUGUCCAUGGCCGAAGGUUACUGACAGAACAGUGGUGUUGUGUGCCUCACACAUUUCUAUGCCGCGUUUCUUACUGCGGGCCCUUCCUGGUCCCUUGUGGCAUUUUCCUACGGCUUCCAUUUCCCCAUUGCCUUAUGUAUGCCAGAAAUCGCAAACCAAGAGGCCUGGCGACAGUGAAACUGAGUGAAUAACAGACGCUCUUUGUAUUUGCCUCUGCCCAUGGUUAUUCGUUACGUGGGGAUCUGUGGGACAAUAUCGGCGCGACAAAAACGCGUGAACCAGCAUUUUCUUGUGUGUAUAUACAUAUACUUAGGUAAUGUCUCUAUGUGCCCGAAUAUUCUGGACUGCUUUUAAUUUAUCUACAAAACUACAGAAAUCUAUAUAAACCUUUAAUAAUGAUAGAGUGUUAUUAGUACGUAUAUCUUAUCUCAUGCGCACUAUGAUGUCAUUGUAUUCGUAUUUGAGAAUGCGUAAAUGUGUGUUUGGGCUGACGAGAAUGGGGGAACGUAUACAUAACACUCGCCUAGCAAUUCGAAAGCAAGUUUUGCAUCGCCAUUUCCCUAAAUGCGGAAAAGACAGAAAAGGCGUUGGCAGGAAUCCUCUUGACCAGUUUCGAUUAUGUGUAGUACCACUGAUGGGCCUUAUGAAAUUGCGCAUUGUGGGAGGAAUCAUCUUACCUUGUGUAUUGAAUAAAUUGCAAAACCUAUUUUAAUAUGGAAAGGGCAAAAUAACAAUUCAAAUUAUCUUGUAACGCAUUGAUUUCCCAUUAAUCUAAGGAGCACGAGUUGUCCGCGAAACUGGACAAGUUGAGCCAUUAUGUGCCUCGAGGAAAUAUACAGUGAUCAUGGAAAACACGCACAUGAAACAGAUCUUUUUGAAAACCAUGCAGUGCACUAUGUUUUGUUUUUCCUAUGAUGUAUGUUAGAUGCAGUUUACGGUUGGUAAUAUCACGAGAUUUUUUUAAAUUCCCCUAAUUUUGCCAAAUAAGUAAAGAAAAGGUGAUAUUUAAUCAAAAUCCUGCACCCAUUCAUUCUUUUUAUUUGAGUUCCUCUCCCACGUGCAAUUUAUUAGGUGGUCUCCAAAACAUAAACUUUAGCUCGAAGACAACUUGCAUAUUGUGGUUUUCAAGUAAAUGGUUUUUCUUAACUUGCCAAGGCAACACAUGGGCUGUGAAAUACGCAGGGAGCUCCGUAUUAAUUUCAACCACUUGAGUUCGUUAACGUGUACCUGAGUGUCGGCAUCCAUGCCGGCAGUCAGGUGACCAUUCUCUUAGAUUUUUUCAGGUGGCCAUGCUCUUAAUUAGCUUAGUGACUUGCUGUUAGAACGCCACCUGGGACUGUCUGACAUUUUCUGCGCAUGCCCUUUCUUGUGUAUAUACACACGAUGUGGCAACGCAAUAAAAUAUUGUUGGAAA